CGUAGGGUGCGAGCGUUAAUCGGAAUUACUGGGCGUAAAGCGUGCGUAGGUGGUGAGUUAAGUCUGUCGUGAAAGCCCCGGGCUCAACCUGGGGAUGGCGAUGGAUACUGGCUCGCUAGAGUGCGGUAGAGGAGAGUGGAAUUCCCGGUGUAGCAGUGAAAUGCGUAGAGAUCGGGAGGAACAUCAGUUGCGAAGGCGGCUCUCUGGACCAGCACUGACACUGAGGCACGAAAGCGUGGGGAGCAAGCAGGAUUAGAUACCCUGGUAGUCCACGCCCUAAACGAUGCGAACUGGACGUUGGGAGCAAUCAGGCUCUCAGUGUCGAAGCUAACGCGUUAAGUUCGCCGCCUGGGGAGUACGGUCGCAAGACUG
rnacentral:rRNA from 1 species